GUGGGAGGGGGCUUGCCCCCGAUGGCGGUGUGUCAGUCAGUCCAUCUGUCACUGAUACACCGCUAUCGGGGGCAAGCCCCCUCCCAC
rnacentral:misc_RNA from 1 species